UAGUAUCUUUAAAGGUGCUAUCUAUCCAUC
rnacentral:piRNA from 1 species